AAGACGGGUUGAAGAUCCGAGAGGCUGAGUCACUUCCACAAAGUAACACAGCUGAUUUUAAAUGCCUGCAUUCAGCAUCCCUGCAGCAGGCUCCAGGUGGAAUUCUAAUGGGACCAGCCUCCAGUCCCUGGACCUUAGCUGUGGAAGGAGAGAAGAGGACAUCUGCACCUCCUCUCAGAGAAAGCCUGAUGCCUACUAAAGGACUUGGGUGGUGGACACAGUGACCCUCAGUCUGGAGCUUGUUCACUGAACAUUGGAGACUAUCAUUUGCGCAGAUGGUCUUGGGCCUCUAUGAGCAGCAGGCUGCACCCCACAGUGACCUCCUCAUUCUACUCUGAGGCAUCUUCAUGAAAGCAGAUGUCCCUUGAAAAGCACCCAAGUGCAGUCUCAGCUGAUGAACUUCAGAGACGAUUGAGACAAAGGCUCUCGGUCCCCUCUGCCCUUGGAUGGUGCCUCUGGUAUGCACUUGGCCUCUGUGUCUUUAUUUAGACUGGUCACUUCACAACCCAUCAUGUCACCCCACCCCUAACCGUGCCCACUCUGGGUCCUCCCCUCAACUGCCUGACUUCCCACUUUGAGCUCAGCAAAGGCAAGAGAUGUUUUGUCUGCUUUGAUACCCUAAAUGCAUGGCGUGGAAGCUGGCACACAGUGGGCCCUUGAAAUUUGGGAGUGAAUAUGUGUAUAUAUUAUAUUCCAACCUCAGCUUUCCUCACUGCUCCUCAUAGUAGGAAUGGAUUGUAAAACUUCCCAGAAUGUUCAAGAGGAGAAAGGAGAGAAAGCAGCCUGGAAUUUGAGCUAAGGGGCCCACAGCCCAGCCACCAAGCCAUCUGUAAAAUGGGGUGGGAAUAUGACAUGAGCCACAGGGGUGCCAUGAGGGUUAAUGAGGUCACCGUGCGAUGUACCAUGCCAACAUGAAUAACCAGACCUCUUGAUGUCAUCAUUUCUGCAUUGCCUGGAAAGUGCCUGAUACACACUACAUACUCAACAAGUGUGAUGGGGUGUCCAGAGGAAA